UACGUAGGGUGCAAGCGUUAAUCGGAAUUACUGGGCGUAAAGCGUGCGCAGGCGGUUUUGUAAGUCAGAUGUGAAAUCCCCGGGCUUAACCUGGGAACUGCGUUUUGAAACUACAAGGCUAGAGUGUGGCAGAGGGGGGGUGGAAUUCCACGUGUAGCAGUGAAAAUGCGUAGAGAUGUGGAGGAACACCGAUGGCGAGGGCAGCCCCCCUGGGUUAACACUGACGCUCAGGCACGAAAGCGUGGGGAGCAAACAGG
rnacentral:rRNA from 1 species